UUCCUACGGGGCGCAGCAGUGGGGAAUAUUGCACAAUGGGGGAAACCCUGAUGCAGCGACGCCGCGUGAGCGAAGAAGUAUUUCGGUAUGUAAAGCUCUAUCAGCAGGGAAGAAAAUGACGGUACCUGACUAAGAAGCUCCGGCUAAAUACGUGCCAGCAGCCGCGGUAAUACGUAUGGAGCAAGCGUUAUCCGGAUUUACUGGGUGUAAAGGGAGCGUAGGCGGGACGGCAAGUCAGAUGUGAAAACUGAGGGCUCAACUUUCAGACUGCAUUUGAAACUGCUGUUCUUGAGUGAAGUAGAGGU
rnacentral:rRNA from 1 species